rnacentral:rRNA from 1 species
ACAUCCAGCGAACUUGGCAGAGAUGCCUUGGUGCCUUCGGGAACGCUGAGACAGGUGCUGCAUGGCUGUCGUCAGCUCGUGUUGUGAAAUGUUGGGUUAAGUCCCGCAACGAGCGCAACCCUUAUCCUUUGUUGCCAGCGAUUCGGUCGGGAACUCAAAGGAGACUGCCGGUGAUAAACCGGAGGAAGGUGGGGAUGACGUCAAGUCAUCAUGGCCCUUACGAGUAGGGCUACACACGUGCUACAAUGGCGCAUACAAAGAGAAGCGACCUCGCGAGAGCAAGCGGACCUCAUAAAGUGCGUCGUAGUCCGGAUCGGAGUCUGCAACUCGACUCCGUGAAGUCGGAAUCGCUAGUAAUCGUGGAUCAGAAUGCCACGGUGAAUACGUUCCCGGGCCUUGUACACACCGCCCGUCACACCAUGGGAGUGGGUUGCAAAAGAAGUAGGUAGCUUAACCUUCGGGAGGGCGCUUACCACUUUGUGAUUCAUGACUGGGGUGAAGUCGUAACAAGGUAGGCGUAGUGCU